GCUUCAGCUAGGAUGACUCAGUUGGUAGAGCAUGGGGCUUUUAACCUCAGAGCCGUGAGUUUGAGCCCUACGUUGGGCA